rnacentral:snRNA from 1 species
AUAUAUAUAUAUAUAUAUAUAUAUAUAUAUAGUUUUCUCUUGCAACGCCAAAUUUAUGUGGUUCUAUGUGUAUCCAAGAUAUUAAACUUAGUUCUGCAAGUAGGCGGAGUGCUUGAAGCAUGCUUCACCUCCGCCGCGGAUAGGCCCGGCAUUGCACUAUCUCUGGGAUCGGCCUAUGCGUU